rnacentral:rRNA from 1 species
UUUUGGCCUCAAAUCAGGUAGGACUACCCGCUGAACUUAAGCAUAUCAAUAAGCGGAGGAAAAGAAACUAACAAGGAUUCCCCUAGUAACUGCGAGUGAAAG